rnacentral:rRNA from 1 species
CCGGACCUGACUGCUAUCGGAUUGGUACUAAGCCAUGCGAGUCAUUGUAGCAAUACAAGGCGACGGCUCAGUAACACGUAGUCAACCUAACUCGUGGACGUGGAUAACCUCGGGAAACUGAGAAUAAACCACGAUAGAUCAUAGUGCCUGGAAUGGCUUAUGGUCCAAACAGUUUACUGCCAUGGGAUGGGACUGCGGCCUAUCAGCUCGUUGGUGAGGUAAUGGCCCACCAAGGCGAUUACAGGUACGGGCUCUGAGAGGAGAAGCCCGGAGAUGGGUACUGAGACACGGACCCAGGCCCUAUGGGGCGCAGCAGGCGAGAAACCUUAGCAAUGUGCGAAAGCACGACUGGGUCAGUCCGAGUGAUUCCUGAUAAAGGAGUCUUUUGCCUGUCCUAAAAGCACAGGUGAAUAAGGGGCGGGCAAGUCUGGUGUCAGCCGCCGCGGUAAUACCAGCACCUCGAGUGGUCAGGACGUUUAUUGGGCCUAAAGCAUCCGUAGCCGGCUCUGCAAGUCUUCGGUUAAAUCCACCUGCUCAACAGAUGGGCCGCUGGAGAUACUACAGAGCUAGGGAGUGGGAGAGGCAGGCGGUAUUCAGUGGGUAGGGGUAAAAUCCUCUGAUCCAUUGAGGACCACCAGUGGCGAAGGCGGUCUGCCAGAACACGUUCGACGGUGAGGGAUGAAAGCUGGGGGAGCAAACCGGAUUAGAUACCCGGGUAGUCCCAGCUGUAAACGAUGCAAACUCGGUGAUGCAUUGGCUUAUGGCCAAUGCAGUGCCGCAGGGAAGCCGUUAAGUUUGCCGCCUGGGAAGUACGGACGCAAGUCUGAAACUUAAAGGAAUUGGCGGGGGAGCACCACAAGGGUGAAGCCUGCGGUUCAAUUGGAGUCAACGCCGG